CAGCGUACGCAGUCCAGAAGGCUGCAGUAUUUCCUCCAAGAAAAAAAAAAAAAAGCUGCUUCAACCCCUGCUGCAAGCAAAGUUGCGAUUCCCUCUGCUGGCUAUCUCGAAUAGCAAAGCGAAUUUUGCAGCAAAGCUGCCGCCGCUGGAACUCAACCUGAAGAACUCCAAUGCGGGCGGUGGGUGAUGGCUUAGCCUCCCCUCCAUCUGCCCUGUCCAGAGCUGCCUUCUUUUCUUUGCUUGCCAAGUUCCAAGAUGGGAAGAGCCUCCCAAUACGCCCCUGGCCUCAUUUCAAUUUGGGUAAUUGCAUUCUGUCGACUUGAAAUUUCCCCACCAGCUUCCUCUGCCUGGGAUGUGAUGCGUCUUCCUCAGUACUCAGCGGCCGUGGGAGACUGGGGAACAGCUGGUGCAUUUCACCCCAGAAGUGGAUGUGUUUUAGCGGCAGGUGCAAAGGUUUUCUUCUGUCGAACACAAAUUCCAACCUAGGAAGAAGCUUUGUGGAUGCUUUUUAUUUGAGCCAUGAAUAAAAGUAAGAUCUUCAUUUUCAAGGAUGAGCUGUAAACAUUGAAAGCUGAACAGCACCUAUUUUUAUUAUAAAUGAGAAAGUAAAAGAGUGGGCACUUAGCUUAGCUGACAAGAUACCCACAUACAAGUGUCUGGACUUGAUUUCUAGCUUUGAUCCUGAUUUUACCUUCCUGUAAAGAUAGACUCCCAGGAACAGUGGUGAUGGUUUAAGUUAUUGUUUCUGCUACCCAGAUGAGAGACCUGGAUUGUGUUCCUGGUUCCUAGGUCUCAUACUGGCCCUGGCCAGUCCCUGCUAUUGCAGGUGUUUGGGGAGUGAACUGGUGGAUGAGAGGUCUCUCUGUUUCUCUAAAUGUCAUCUCUUUAUCCCUACUUAUCUCUGCCUCUUAACAAAUAAAAAUCAAAUAGUCUUAACUUACAGUAAUGAGUAAAGCAUACAACAUACAUAUGUAAUA